GGCCAGGUAGCCAAGUAGCUAAGGCGCUUCUCUGCAAAAGAAGAAUACAUGGGUGCAAGUCCCAUCCUGGCCUCAA
rnacentral:tRNA from 3 species